CUUCCACAACCCUGCAAAACCCUGUGGGGGGAAAGGCUCUCCACUUUUUUAAUGCCAAAAAUACGGGAGAUGUAUACAGGGCAAGAAAUAAAUCCUCGCAAUCGGGAUUAGAGACAAAAGUUAAUCUGCCGCAUUGGUUCCCCAGUCCCUUUGGACAUCCCUGGGGUCGAGGGAAAAUGGUAAAGUAGAAAAGCUUGGGUCUUUCGGAGUUCGUUGUCAUGUAGGGAUGCCAUUCAAUAGAUUUAAACAAGGAAAGGCCAGGGUAGAUACCUUGCAAGGAAUCGCCUAAAGCAGCUCUCUAGUUGGUGUUAUUGGUCUAAACUCUUAUGCCUCUAGGGCUUGUUUCAAUUGUUAAAGCUUCACUGUAGAAGUUUCAGCACCAACCAAACAUAGAACAAUAGUCUCAGACUUUUGGUGUAGAUGUGAAACUUUAAUACAGACAUUUAAGUUUCACCUAGACAGCGAAACUCAAAUGCCUGCCGCUUUUCCUCUUCAUAGCCGCUCGUUUCUUCUUCUCAGCCGCAGCAGCAUCAGGUCCUCACCGCAGCGGUGGAACGAGCUCUGGUAGAAGACGAAGUUCCUCUCCUCCUACAUCUCACCUUCCUCCGGUAGAAGACGAGGGGACGAAGCACCCACCAUUAUUUAUGCCCUCCCUCAUCUUCCUCCUUUCCAUGACUUUAUUCUUCCCAUGUCUCUGUAUUUUUAGAUUGGCGAUCUGAUGAUCAUACAAACCACUGGAACCGUCCUGCGUUGUGAUUGAUAUAGGCUAAAUCAAACAUUCCUACUGUUAUUGCAGAAGGGCCCCAAGCGAUGAAUUUUAUUUAGGCAUCUUAACAUCUAAUGGGUGUUCAAACAAAAAUCCGUGGAACCGUGACUAAACCAUGGCCACCGGUCCCUGUUAUGCUUUCUGAGACAGAAACAACAUCCUUUAAUGGUUCUUGAGAAUCUUCAGUAUGCAGGAAAGAACCACGACUCAGUGUAUUGAGAAUCUUCAGUAUUGGUGGUUUUGAAUCCGUUCUUUAGGGCCUUCUACUGGUAUGGGUGUUGCUGGUUGAGCCAUUUGAUUUUCUAGAGGAGUGAAUGCUGUGUGAACUUCCAUCUAUCCUUCAUGGGUUCUUUUACCCCCAACAUGUACAAUCACGUCGCAUUGCAAUCAGAUUGAACUUCCAUCUAUCUCACAAUAGAAGGAUGCUGCGUGCAGUUUUUUCGUGUGUAACAAGAAGCAUUACCUCACUUGUUUUCGAGUUUAUGGUUGGAACACUGUGGCCGAAGCUGGAACGAUCGGUCAAAAAACGUGGAAAAUUCCUGCAUCCACAAUACAAACAUUGAACUAAAAUACCUGGAACAAAAGUUUCAGGCAUUCAAACACCAUGGUGCAUAUGGCAGGUGAAACUUUUGUUCUACAUGAAAGGUACCGGGUACUAAAUACCCAUCCAUACCAGCAAUACACAUAAUGAAGUGGGAGUUCCAGAGGCUACAACCUGGUUCACAUGAAGAUGGCACAACUUUGGCCUCGAAACAGGCGAAAACAAGAUGUACAGCAAAAUUUUCGAUGAGCUGCAACUUGUAGGCCACCUUCCAUAUCCUUUCCACGAAUUGGAAAGGUCUGCAGUAUUUUGCCUAAAAUUUACGUGCGCUUGCAAAUUUUGGUGGCACCUUGCCCAUGGGGAAGUUUUUGAGGUAAACUCAUUUUCGUAUCUUGUAGUCCUUGUCCCUGCAAUGUGGUGUUUAUUAUGUUGUUGCAUCAUAAGAUUCUGGGCAGCAGAAAAGCUCCCACCUCAAGUACCUUGUACGGCUAGAAGAGUUGAACCUCUAUUUCGUUGAUUGUUUUCCUUGAGGGUCGUCUUAGGUCAGGGAGGGGAGGCCUGCCAUACACAGUUUCAAAGGGAGAUAUACUCCAAUUGAUGAACCGGUGUCAGUGUUGCGAGCAAAUUCAUCCCAUGAUAUGUAGUUCAUCCAAUUGUAUGGUUGGCGCACAGUACAACCGGUUUCGAAAGCCCUAUUCACUGCCUCGGCUGCCCAUCGAUUUGAGGGUGGCAGGAUGUGUUCAUGUGGACACCUUACUUGAGUUUCGAAAACUCUAUUCACUGCCUCGGUUGCCAUGGGUUUUUGAGUGGUAGCAUGUGCUCGUGUGGAGUUUAG